GGGCGAAUAGCUCAGUUGGCGAGAGCGUCUGCCUUACAAGCAGAAGGUCACCCGUUCAAGUCGGGUUUCGCCCA
rfam:Candidate division WOR_3 bacterium SM23_60 WORSMTZ_1602, whole genome shotgun sequence.